AUGGCACGAGACGUUUUCUGUUGAGGCGGGGGAGCCGACUCCAGUGCUCUUCCACUAGCAAUGCCACUUGAUCACUUGAAGAAUCAUUCAAAUUAAUAACGAGACUGUCCAAUCAGUACAGUGCAGAACAAGGGGUGAUCCAAAGGCUUUAGACCAAAGCAAAGGGCUGCACUGACUGCAUCUGCCAUCCACCAUUCCAAUCAAACAAAUUCAAAGAUGGCAGAUCAAGAAGCUGACUCAAUCGAUAAUCUGUGGCCGCACCUUCUACUUUUUAAGCCCAAAGUAGGAAAGGAAAUAAUAUUUUAAUGAAAUUCUGCUUCUGCUUCACCGAAAUUUCAACCUUCAAAAACUCAACAUCGAACCUACGGAAGCAUAUCGAAAGAGAAGCUGGAUAACUGCAUGAAGCCCACGCAUCUGCAGCGGCAUCUAAACACUGAACGCAUCGCAUGUCGAAUCCGGUGGAGACGCAGGAUCACAUCCCUCUUCCUGCUUUAAAGAGGGAUCCCCUCAGCUGUCUCCCCGACGUCGCUACCCCUAAAUUCGGUUACUUUACUUUACUUUAAAGACCAGCGACUUUAGUUGUUGAGUUCGGUUUUGUUUUGUCUAUAAUUUUGAUUAAAUAAAAGGCCCUGUUGGGCUAUUUUUCCCCAAACCUCCGGUCUGUGUACUUCUGUGCCGCUCCGCCUGC